rnacentral:rRNA from 1 species
AGAGUUUGAUCAUGGCUCAGAUUGAACGCUGGCGGCAGGCCUAACACAUGCAAGUCGAACGGUAACAGAACUAGCUUGCUAGUUGCUGACGAGUGGCGGACGGGUGAGUAAUACUUAGGGAUCUGCCUCUGUGUGGGGGAUAACUAUUGGAAACGAUAGCUAAUACCGCAUAACGUCUACGGACCAAAGAGGGCUUCGGCUCUCGCGCAGAGAGGAACCUAAGCGAGAUUAGCUUGUUGGUGAGGUAAAGGCUCACCAAGGCGACGAUCUCUAGCUGUUCUGAGAGGAAGAUCAGCCACACUGGAACUGAGACACGGUCCAGACUCCUACGGGAGGCAGCAGUGGGGAAUAUUGCACAAUGGGGGAAACCCUGAUGCAGCCAUGCCGCGUGUGUGAAGAAGGCCUUCGGGUUGUAAAGCACUUUCAGUUGUGAGGAAAGGUUAGUAGUUAAUACCUGCUAGCUGUGACGUUAACAACAGAAGAAGCACCGGCUAACUCCGUGCCAGCAGCCGCGGUAAUACGGAGGGUGCGAGCGUUAAUCGGAAUUACUGGGCGUAAAGCGCACGCAGGCGGUCUGUUAAGCUAGAUGUGAAAGCCCCGCGCUCAACGUGGGAGGGUCAUUUAGAACUGGCAGACUAGAGUCUUGGAGAGGGGAGUGGAAUUCCAGGUGUAGCGGUGAAAUGCGUAGAUAUCUGGAGGAACAUCAGUGGCGAAGGCGACUCCCUGGCCAAAGACUGACGCUCAUGUGCGAAAGUGUGGGUAGCGAACAGGAUUAGAUACCCUGGUAGUCCACACCGUAAACGCUGUCUACUAGCUGUUUGUGGAUUUAAUCCGUGAGUAGCGAAGCUAACGCGAUAAGUAGACCGCCUGGGGAGUACGGCCGCAAGGUUAAAACUCAAAUGAAUUGACGGGGGCC